UACAGAGGCCUCGAGCGUUAGGCGGAAUCACUGGGCUUAAAGCGUGUGUAGGCGGACGGGUAAGUACCUUGUGAAAUCCCACGGCUCAACCGUGGAACCGCUUGGUAUACUGCUUGUCUUGAGCCACUUAGGGGUUACCGGAACAAAUGGUGGAGCGGUGAAAUGCGUAGAUAUCAUUUGGAACGCCAAUGGUGAAAACAGGUAACUGGGAGUGUGCUGACGCUGAGACACGAAAGCCAGGGGAGCGAACGGG
rnacentral:rRNA from 1 species